rfam:Agrilus planipennis Contig68313, whole genome shotgun sequence.
AACUAAAUACUCGAUUGAUUUUAUACGUUUCCUUCAACCGAAAUUAAUCGCAUCUAUAUGUUAAAAUGGGUUUUUAGUCUGUAGGCGCUCCCACCAGGAGUGAAUCUGACGCUACCCCUCUUUUGGGGGAAGUCUUUAGAAGAUUUCCCCUUCUCGAGG